GGAUGUGAGGGCCAUCUAGCUGCGACAUCAGCAAUUACCUCAUUGACUGCCAACUUUGAUCCGGCUGGUCUGGUUGGCUAGAUGGUGUCUCUAUCUUCCCCCUUCCUGCACAUGUAUGUGUAUCCCCUUCCCCUGAAGCUCUGAGAUCAAUCAGAGAAAACCUUCCCCAGUAGAGGAGGUCUAUUCUUUGGUCAAGGGCAUGUGAGUGAGUUUGUGUGUUCCCCUACUAGAGCGCUAGGAGAAUGCUCUACUAGAACGAGACAAGACCGCAAGAAGUAAUGGGGUGUAAGGCACAGUAAGAGGCUGUCCCUUCGUCC
ensembl:misc_RNA 7SK 7SK RNA